rnacentral:rRNA from 1 species
GACGAACGCUGGCGGCGUGCUUAACACAUGCAAGUCGAACGAUGAAGCCGGAGCUUGCUCUGGUGAAUUAGUGGCGAACGGGUGAGUAACACGUGAGUAACCUGCCCUUGACUCUGGGAUAACUGCGGGAAACUGUAGCUAAUACCGGAUACGACCCUCGGAGGCAUCUCCUGGGGGUGGAAAGAAUUUCGGUCAAGGAUGGACUCGCGGCCUAUCAGCUAGUUGGUGAGGUAAAGGCUCACCAAGGCGACGACGGGUAGCCGGCCUGAGAGGGUGACCGGCCACCAUGGGACUGAGACACGGCUCAGACUCCUACGGGAGGCAGCAGUGGGGAAUAUUGCACAAUGGGCGCAAGCCUGAUGCAGCAACGCCGCGUGAGGGAUGACGGCCUUCGGGUUGUAAACCUCUUUUAGCAGGGAAGAAGCGAAAGUGACGGUACCUGCAGAAAAAGCACCGGCUAACUACGUGCCAGCAGCCGCCGUAA